GAUGAACGCUGACAGAAUGCUUAACACAUGCAAGUCAACUUGAACUUCGGUUUGGGUGGCGGCCGGGUGAGUCACGCGUAAAGAACUUGCCUCACAGUUAGGGACAACAUUUGGAAACGAAUGCUAAUACCUGAUAUUAUGAUUUUAGGGCAUCCUAGAAUUAUGAAAGCUAUAUGCGCUGUGAGAGAGCUUUGCGUCCCAUUAGCUAGUUGGAGAGGUAACGGCUCACCAAGGCGAUGAUGGGUAGCCGGCCUGAGAGGGUGAACGGCCACAAGGGGACUGAGACACGGCCCUUACUCCUACGGGAGGCAGCAGUGGGGAAUAUUGGACAAUGGACCAAGAGUCUGAUCCAGCAAUUCUGUGUGCACGAUGAAGUUUUUCGGAAUGUAAAGUGCUUUCAGUUGGGAAGAAAAAAAUGACGAUACCAACAGAAGGAGUGACGGCUAAAUACGUG
rnacentral:rRNA from 1 species